UGGGGAAUAUUGGACAAUGGGCGCAAGCCUGAUCCAGCCAUGCCGCGUGAGUGAUGAAGGCCCUAGGGUUGUAAAGCUCUUUCACCGGUGAAGAUAAUGACGGUAACCGGAGAAGAAGCCCCGGCUAACUUCGUGCCAGCAGCCGCGGUAAUACGAAGGGGGCUAGCGUUGUUCGGAUUUACUGGGCGUAAAGCGCACGUAGGCGGACUAUUAAGUCAGGGGUGAAAUCCCGGGGCUCAACCCCGGAACUGCCUUUGAUACUGGUAGUCUUGAGUUCGAGAGAGGUGAGUGGAAUUCCGAGUGUAGAGGUGAAAUUCGUAGAUAUUCGGAGGAACACCAGUGGCGAAGGCGGCUCACUGGCUCGAUACUGACGCUGAGGUGCGAAAGCGUGGGGAGCAACCAGG
rnacentral:rRNA from 1 species